GUCAUUUGUGUUCUGUUCCUGUUCCAUAUCAGUCGUCCGCGCCGUUAAGCGGUUAAGCCAACACUCGCUUCACUUCAUUGCAGUGUUGGCAGUAGAGGAGCACGUGUGUAUUCUUCUUGUUUUAGGCAUCUGUGUUGUGUGUGGUCGGUCUCCAUAGAAUUGACGAUGAAAAAUUUGUUUAUAACGGGAUUUAGAUUUUUGGCUUGUCCACUCCACUGACAGCUGGGUUUUGGAGGCCAUGGCUAGUUAAUAGGAUAAAAGUGUUCCAGAUUGGAAAAUGGUAAUAUGUUAUUGUUUCCUUCUUAAAAUUAUGUGCUUUCAUGAUUAAAAUAAAGAAGGUUCUGUUGAUUUUUGAUCACAUUGAAGUAAGGUUUUAUUUUUAUCUUACAAAUUCCUUCAAGGUUUACAGCAAACACACAUUUGAACAGUUGUUGGAUAAAAUUUUGUUCACCGUGUCUAAAUAUUUUCUUAGUGUUUUGCAUUUCAUUUAAUUUGUUUGUACCUGUCUUAAUUUUAUAAUUUAUUUUUGUCAUAUGACUCAAAACAACCAAGUGAUGUUUUUAGCUGUUUGGUGUUGCAAUUGAUGGAUUCAUACAUAAAAUUCGACGAUUUCCAAAAAAGGACUCCUAUUGAAUUUGGCGGAUUGUUUUCCUUUUUCAUAUGCGUUAUGUCAUUGAAGUAAUCGUGUAAUAAUAUAACCUUUUGGGAUUAAUUCAAUAUAUUUGGAAAACGAAUCGAUCAGGCUUCAUUUCAACUGAACAAGUUUAUUACCAAGAGAAGAAGAGCUUUAAUGAGUAAAAAAACAAACAAAAAAGACAUUUCAGGUUCCUAAAUCCGUAAACUAUUAUAUUUUCAACGAAACCGACGCUUUACACCCUUUUCAUAUCGCUCAAGGGAAAGUCCUGAAAUCCCCCACCAGGUGCCACUGCAGUUUUAUAACAACAAUGGCUGCCAUGGUUAGUGCACGGUUAGCUGUCUUUCACGUUUCGAUGCAGUACUUAAAAGUGAACUAUUAAGCAUUUAAAAAUUUUUUUGAAGCAGCGUGAUGUGUGGUAAAGCAGAUUAAGUGUGUAUCCAACAUUAUAGUGAAAUCCAUGUGAAAGGAAAAUAGCAUUAUCCAGGCUCUUCUUCAAUUGCAAACAAAGAGAAUUAAGAUUGAAACAAACGCAAAGUAUCCAACUGAAAUUCUCUUCAUAUUCAUGGUAAUUUUGGAAAAUAUUCUUUCCAGAGAAUAAUACCUUAAAAGAAAGAACUGUGGUUGUGAUAAUGUAGCAGUAUUGUGUGGAUCUGUCGCCGCCAUUCCAUAAACUGGCACAUUGGGAUGGUGAAACUGAGGAGAAAACGCUGAAAUUCAAGAUAAUUAUGUUGAUGUAGAUAAAUUAAAAGUGUAUAUCUGGACUCCCUUCUUUUCUGUGGCCCCGUUUCCCUAACUAACCACUAACCAACGCCCGCCGGUGGUCACUCACCCGCUGUGAAACCAGGAGGAGGGGAGGGCUCUGGUCGAA